rnacentral:lncRNA from 1 species
AUCACACCUCCACGAAAAGUGUCAUGUCUCUCGUUCCAAGACGACAUGCCUGUGGUACCCCCACAAGUGGUUAUAGCUCUGGUAUACCCUACGGUAUAUUCUAACAAAAUACCAUGUCACAACACAUGCGACAUAAUACCAACAAAAAGGGUUCUAUAUGUACAUGUUGAACCAAAUCAAAUUAUAGUCACAAUGUCUCAAAAAGAAGGUAGCAACAUGUACCGCUCUAGAAUUAUUAAAAAUAAAUAUUAAACAUGAUAACCUAAUUCAAAGAGUACAAAUACGAGUCCAAUGUGUCAACUCCAAAAUGAAAGUAAUGUAUGAAUUUCACAGGAAACAAUUAUGUGAAAUCAUAACAGAAUUCGAAACAAGGGACAAGACGAACAAAUCAAAUUUAACAAGAGUCUCGCUGAACAAAUCAUGGAAUAUGUACCAAUUUUAAUAGAAGGAAAUUAGUUUAAAUUACUGAAUACAACCAAAGUAUCAAUUAUCAAAUUUCUAUUUAAGAAUUCCAAUAGGAUUAUAAGAAAAUAAAUGACGAUAUAUCACGAGAUAC